rnacentral:rRNA from 1 species
GACGAACGCUGGCGGCGUGCCUAAUACAUGCAAGUAGGACGCACGGUUUAUACCGUAGCUUGCUACACCAUAGACUGUGAGUUGCGAACGGGUGAGUAACGCGUAGGUAACCUGCCUAUUAGGGGGGGAUAACUAUUGGAAACGAUAGCUAAUACCGCAUAACAGUAUGUAACACAUGUUAGAUGCUUGAAAGAUGCAAUUGCAUCGCUAGUAGAUGGACCUGCGUUGUAUUAGCUAGUAGGUAGGGUAAAGGCCUACCUAGGCAACGAUACAUAGCCGACCUGAGAGGGUGAUCGGCCACACUGGGACUGAGACACGGCCCAGACUCCUACGGGAGGCAGCAGUAGGGAAUCUUCGGCAAUGGGGGGAACCCUGACCGAGCAACGCCGCGUGAGUGAAGAAGGUUUUCGGAUCGUAAAGCUCUGUUGUUAAGGAAGAACGAGUGUGAGAAUGGAAAGUUCAUACUGUGACGGUACUUAACCAGAAAGGGACGGCUAACUACGUGCCAGCAGCCGCGGUAAUACGUAGGUCCCGAGCGUUGUCCGGAUUUAUUGGGCGUAAAGCGAGCGCAGGCGGUUAGAAAAGUCUGAAGUGAAAGGCAGUGGCUCAACCAUUGUAGGCUUUGGAAACUGUUUAACUUGAGUGCAGAAGGGGAGAGUGGAAUUCCAUGUGUAGCGGUGAAAUGCGUAGAUAUAUGGAGGAACACCGGUGGCGAAAGCGGCUCUCUGGUCUGUAACUGACGCUGAGGCUCGAAAGCGUGGGGAGCGAACAGG